ensembl:antisense
CCUGGGGGCGGCGCGCGGUGAGACCCCGACCUCCCCCAGGCUCAAGGUCCCAGGUGUUCGGCUAUGACAAGAUGAAGCUGGAUGUCUCCUUCCCAGACGCUGGUGAAUAGUCCAAGGGAUAAUUGGUCCGAACCAUCGUUGGGAACAGCAAACAAGGCUUUCCCUUGGAAGGUCCCAGCAAGGUGUCUGGACCCACGGCCAAGUGCACCUGCUGUUCUGACCAAAGAAAGCUGGAGAGAGGCAGGAUGAGCCUCCUGGGCCCCAAAGAACUGCAGAAUCGGAAAGCUUUUCAGUCUUUCCAAAGAAGCUGAUGGUGCCAGUCAACACGUUGUGAGAAAGCAAGCAAAGAAGGGAAGAAGCCCAGGACCACAGCCCCCAAGAUCCAAGACCCAGCAUCUCCUUACUCCACCUGUCCUGCAACAAAACACCAAUGUAUUGUUCAGUAGAGACUAGGUGCUAUGGAGAUGGAGAGAGGCUGUAGAGCUAAGCGUUGCUAUGGAGACUGAGGAGGGGCUGCAGAGCUAAGCCUUGGGCCAAGAGAAUGAAGGAAGCCACAGAAAAAAACGCCAGGAUCAGACUGCCAAGAGGUGUAGGCUGCUUCUACCUCCAAGUCAAAGUCCAGUAAAAAUGAAUAACAACAAAUGAGCCGACCUUCAAAAAAUACUUUGUUGGGUCAGCCAGGUGCUCAGUGGGUAAAGGCACUGUGUCCAAGUCUGCCAAGACCUGAGAUCCAUCCCUGGGACCUACCUGGUGGAGGAAGAGAACUGACUCCAGCAAGUUGUCCUCUGUCUCCCACACGUGCACUAUAGCUCUCACAUGCACAUACCCAAUAAAUAAAUACUUUUAAGACACCUUAAAAUUAAAAAGAUAUUUUUUUUAUUAAACCC